ACUAAACUUGCAUCAGGGCAACCAUGUUCAUUUAGGCACAAGAAGUUUUGCCUUUAUUAAAACCAGUUCUGUUGGACUCAGUUGUUACCUGGAAUGAAAAGUUAAAAUUGAAAUUCCAAAGACUUCAGUGUGGAAUUGAACAAUCACACUGUUCAAGUUCAAUUUGUAUUUAGCCAUAAAAUGGGACUCCAUCAAAACACCUGUUGAGAAAUAAAGCAGAGGAAGAUUCAUACCUGUUUUUUCAGCCUCCAGCAGAGUUCAACCCUACUCCUUUAUCCAGAUUUUGGACUACUUGCAGUUACUUGUUAACAGUGGGGUAAACAGCAGGAUGUAGAUGAAUGGCAACAAGUCUAAGAAUCUAAUGCUGCUAUGGCUAAUUCUCAGUCAAGAGAGUGGGAGAGAGGAAGGAAGGAAGGAAGGAACGAACGAACGAACGAAGGAACGAAGGAAGGAAGGAAGGAAGGAAGGAACGAAGGAACGAAGGAACGAAGGAACGAAGGAAGGAA